GCACCUUAUAAAUACAUAUAAGUAUCACAUGAUGAUGCAAGAAAUAAAUGCAGCAUACCUAAGAGGGACUUGCAUGAAGAGGCAGAGAGAGUGAUGCAGCCAAGGAUGACUUGCCGGAGUCAAUUACUAGGUCACCGGAAUUUUCUUUCCGGCAAGUUGUCUUUGGCUAUGUUGAACUUUCUUCUUCUCAUGUAAGUGCCAGUUAGGGUCAAUUAUUGGAUCGUCAAGUUCUUCACUUGCAUGUAGAGUCCGACUAUUAUAUAUUUGUGAAUGCUAGUGUACGUGUGAAUAAUUAAUGGAAAGUAAUUGGCGUGGAGAUCAAGAUAACAUGCCAGCAUACAGGCAUACAGCCAAGCCUAGUAUCAGAGAAUUGAAAUUUUGAACAGAUAAAAUGCUUGCAUGCACAUGUUGAACUUUUUGUACAUGGGGAGCCGUCCCAAGUGGACCAAAGCAAUUAUGUCUCUGCUUCUUAUGUGUACAAUUUUGAGCCUCCCAAAAUGAUUCCUGAAAUGUUGCAUGUGCAGCAGUUAUGUGUCAUAGACAAAAAUUGCGCCUUUUGAAAAUGGGGUCCUAGAUGCUCACCUUAACUAUGCUCAGGGUCACCUCUAACCACCACUUUUCUCCCUUUUUCCUUUCUCUUUUUUAUUCUUUGAGUCUAACUUUUGAUAUGCAAGUUUCACACAAAAAGGUAAACAAUUGCAAAUUGAUUCGUGACAACGAGCAAGAGUGUGGAGCAUGACACGUAGUGAGUAACACGAAACGACACGACACAGAGGUGCACAAGUGUGAGACAUGACACCAAAAUGAUGCAACGGAGGAGAAACCUAGCUGAGUACUGCAAUGCUACAACAAAGGUGUGCAAGGUUAAUCUGUCGUGCAACUUUUUGUUUUACUCUUUUCUACUUCUCUCUCUUCUUCUUGACGUGCAUGAUUUUAGAUUUGGAAUGUGGUGUGUAAACAAAUCUACUUCAACAAAAACAUGGUGAUUUUGUUUGAAUGGGAAUGGAAGUAUGAAAGCAAAAAUGUUGGGUGUUGUCAUUGAUGUUGUCAAAAAGAUGAGUGACGUUGUCGAAGAGUAUUAACACCAUAGUGAUAUAGAAGAACUCAAUGGAAGAGGAAAAGGAGUUGAUUAAAUGGUUAAUCGAUGAACAACACAAUUCAGCCCAUGUUCAUGUGUUGAUCAAUUGCAUUGAAGUUAAAUCGUACCUUGAGUAAACAUUUGAGAAUGAAUAUUUUUAUUAUUAUACAAUUUAUCUUGUAUUCUGAUCUUAAACUCGCCCUUUAAGUGAUAUAUUUGAGCAGUUUAUUCAUGCAAACUCAAGAAAAUGCUUUUGCUCGUAUACAUGUUGAUUUUCCUAGAUGGUUCAAGGAAAAAGUUCACAACAAGCCUUUAAAUGGGAGAAACCAACACUUAAGGGAUUUGUCAAAUAAGUCAUUUAGAUGUGUUAAAGAAUGGCACACAUAUUUUGUUAAUGGGUACAAGUUUCAAACUUAUGCAUGGUGCAAGGAGAAAAAAACCAUUAAUAGUGGAGUUUAUGUAAAGGGCAUUACAGAAGGAGGUGAAGAUGAUUUCUAUGGGGUCAUUCAACACAUAUGAACUUCAAUACAAUGCUUUAAGUUAUCAUAAGGAAGUGGUUGUAUUUUAUUGUGAUUGGUUUGAUCUGUCAAGAAUAGGUACAAGAGUGGAUCCAAAAUAUAAUAUAGUGGAUAUUCGGAUUGAUGCAAGAUAUAAAGAGGUUGAUCCAUUUAUCAUUGCAUAUAAUGUAAGGCAAGUGUAUUAUGUCCCAUAUCCAACAACAUGAAUGAAUAAACAUGGUUGGUUUGUUGUAAUCAAAACAAAGCCAAGGGGUCGUAUAGAAUUUGAUGAAGUGGCUUACCAGGUAGAUGAAAUGACACAUACUAAUGAAGUCAUUGAAGUUGAAGGUAUUUUAGGAUUACAGGAUGUAGAAGGUGAUCUUGAAGAAGUUGAUGAGCUUGAAGAACCCCUACAACAUGUUGAAGUACAAGAGGAUGAGGAGGAAGAAGAAGAGGAGUCAAAUGAAGGGGAAUUAGAAGAAGACUUUGAUGUAUAUAGCUCUGAAGAGGAUUAGGCAAUAAGGAUAAAUGUCUAAGGACAAUGAUUAUAUUGGUUUUAUCCCUCUAUUUAGUUCUCUAUUUUUAUGAUGCAUUUGAAUCACUUAAUCAUAAUAUUAUUUAUACA